UUGGCAGAUGCGGCAACAUCAAGAUUCACAACUUCCGGAGGCUUCACUCUGAGGUAAGGCUACUGCCGACCUGGGCCAGUCGCCUACUCAAUCGGGAGAGUUCCUCGUUUUUAUGAGAAUCUUGAUGAUGCUGCAUCAGCAAAUA
rnacentral:sRNA from 1 species